UACGUAGGGUGCAAGCGUUGUCCGGAAUUAUUGGGCGUAAAGAGCUCGUAGGCGGUUUGUCGCGUCUGCUGUGAAAACUCGGGGCUUAACUCCGGGCCUGCAGUGGGUACGGGCAGACUAGAGUGCGGUAGGGGAGACUGGAAUUCCUGGUGUAGCGGUGAAAUGCGCAGAUAUCAGGAGGAACACCGGUGGCGAAGGCAGGUCUCUGGGCCAUAACUGACGCUGAGAAGCGAAAGCAUGGGGAGCGAACAGG
rnacentral:rRNA from 1 species